AGCGAACGCUGGCGGCAGGCCUAACACAUGCAAGUCGAACGGUAACAGGUCUUCGGAUGCUGACGAGUGGCGAACGGGUGAGUAAUACAUCGGAACGUGCCUAGUAGUGGGGGAUAACUACUCGAAAGAGUGGCUAAUACCGCAUGAGAUCUACGGAUGAAAGCAGGGGAUCGCAAGACCUUGUGCUACUAGAGCGGCCGAUGGCAGAUUAGGUAGUUGGUGGGAUAAAAGCUUACCAAGCCGACGAUCUGUAGCUGGUCUGAGAGGACGAUCAGCCACACUGGGACUGAGACACGGCCCAGACUCCUACGGGAGGCAGCAGUGGGGAAUGUUGGACAAUGGGCGCAAGCCUGAUCCAGCAAUGCCGCGUGCAGGAUGAAGGCCUUCGGGUUGUAAACUGCUUUUGUACGGAACGAAAAGCCCUGGGUUAAUACCCUGGGGUCAUGACGGUACCGUAAGAAUAAGCACCGGCUAACUACGUGCCAGCAGCCGCCGUAAAAC
rnacentral:rRNA from 1 species